AUGCUAGGUGAGAGAUUCCACAGUGAAGUUAUAACAAUAUCAGAUACGAAAUCUGGCCUAGCAACAGCAGUGCCCAAUGCCUUCAUUCCAGCUCUGUCCUCAAAGAAGAACAUUAGGUAAGAACAUUUAAUAUUAGAGACAGGUUAGGACAUGAGAUUCAUUUGAUCUUAUUUUGCAGAAAAACAGGUACCCGAGGGAUGGUGGGUAGGAAAUUACCCUAGAGAUAGAAGAAUAAAAAAAAGGAGAUAUUUGGAAGGCA
rnacentral:lncRNA from 12 species